rnacentral:rRNA from 1 species
CCGUAAUCGGAAUGAGUACACUUUAAAUCCUUUAACAAGGAUCCAUUGGAGGGCAAGUCUGGUGCCAGCAGCCGCGGUAAUUCCAGCUCCAAUAGCGUAUAUUAAAGUUGUUGCGGUUAAAAAGCUCGUAGUUGGUUCUGCGUGCCGCGCUGUCGGUUCGCCGCCUGUCGGUGUUACUGGCAUGUCGCGGCAUGUCCUGUCGGUGGUGAAUGAAAUCCCCGGUACUACGUAGGCUUUUAUUAGCUGAAGUAUGUGCCGUGGUGAUUUCAUUUACCGAUUUCUCCUACUCCGGUGCUCUUAAACGAGUGUCGAGGUAGGCCGACACGUUCACUUUGAACAAAUUAGAGUGCUUAAAGCAGGCUGAAAUAUCUGCCUGAAUAGUGGUGCAUGGAAUAAUAAAAUAGGACCUCGGUUCUAUUUUAUUGGUUUUAGGAAUAUGAGGUAAUGAUCAAUGUGGACUGGCGGGGGCAUUCGUAUUGCGACGUUAGAGGUGAAAUUCUUGGAUCGUCGCAAGACGCACUAGAGCGAAAGCAUUUGCCAAGUAUGUCUUAAUUGAUCAAGAACGAAAGUUAGAGGUUCGAAGGCGAUCAGAUACCGCCCUAGUUCUAACCAUAAACGAUGCCAGCCAGCGAUCCGCCGAUGUUCCUUUAAUGACUCGGCGGGGAGCUUCCACCCGGGAAACCAAAGCUUUUGGGUUCCGGGGGAAGUAUGGUUGCAAAGCUGAAACUUAAAGGAAUUGACGGAAGG